GUGUUACCCAUAGGGAAAUGCUUGGAAAGUCAAUUGUGCUCAGUUAUCUUAUUUUCAUAAAGAAAUGUAGAACAGGCUCCAAAAUUGUUUUUCAUGUAAAAAAUUUUACAUGUGAAAAUGUUAAAAAAAAAUUUUUUUUUUUUCACCUGUAAAGCUGACAGAAUAAGUCCAUGUGUGGAGCACACUUUAAAGCGACUUCACCUGAAAUUCCAUCUCGGUGUGAGUCACGCCAUCUCACUUCUUGGACUAAACGCACUGCACAGAACAAUCGCGCGCUCUCAAAGCAAACUGAGGUUCCGACCUGCAGGGAGAAAAUCAGACACCCAGUCCUCUCUAGACAUCUCUGUGCCGGAAGGGGGCCAACCCCCACACCUCACAGGUCAGGACCUAAAAACUCACUGAGACACCAGGCCUGACUCUUAAUUCUGUGUCUCCCUCCCUGGAACACCUGCAUCCCCGUCGCCAGGUUUCCUUGGUGACCAGAGCUCUAAGGAUACCCGGUUCUGGCGCACUGAAGACAGAGGCCUGGGGUCAGGGUCAUUCCUACCCGCCGAGGUCAGGACUCAAGCAUCUUGCGCCUCCCGCUUCUCCCUGGACCUCAGGACACAGGACAGCAGAGAACCUGGGCCAGCGCUCCCGGGGCACCAGAACUCGUUGGCCACAGGCCGGGACAGGGAGGUGGGGGGCCUUUGCUCAUUCCAGUGACCCACUCCUCCUGGGAGCACUUGAAAGAGAAAUACAUUCCACCAUCCAGGGGCAAAGCCGCCCCCUCCCAGCUGGGGCCUGUUCCCUCCGCCUCCUCCUGGCUCCAGGGCCCGGGGUCCAACACCCGAGGAGGCCUCGGUCAACCGCAUCCAUGCACGAGGCUCUGGCCACCCUCUCAGCUCGCUGCCUACCUCCAGGCUGUCCGAUUCUUGGGCUCGGUGGCUGGGGGCGGGGGAUACAGGGCCUCCCUGCGGGGAGCGGCGUCCCGCCUCCAUCACCGCCUGGACUCCCCCAACCACACCCCGACCCCUGCGUGCAGACACGCUGGAAACCUCUCGCCUCCCGUCCCAUCCCUCGAAGACAUCAUACAAUGGCAGCGUUCCUGACAGCUUCCGGGCGCAGUCAGGUCCAUAAACUGGAAAAGGUGACCCUUCCGACAUUCAUCCGUCACAGUAAUCACGCUGCCAUCUUCACCCAAACCUCUGAUCACCUCAUUUCACUGCUCAGAAACCAUCAGUCCCCUAACCCCACCCCCCACAGCCUGCGGGAUCCAGCUGGGCCUCCUCGGUGGGGAUGGGGCCCCACCCACACCUGUCCACCUGGAAACAGUCAGCUCUCUCCAGGUGCUCACCAAACGCUGCCUCCUCCGUGAAGCCUCCCAGGACUCUCCACACCCACGAACAGCCACCUCCUGCCUCCCUUGACUCAGGAUACGCUGAGCGCUCCGCGUCUAAGUUUCUGCAGUGUCCUGCCUCCUUUCCAGAAAGCAAGGAGCAGACUUGGGCCCACCGGAGGUCCACAGGCUGCUAUAAAAACCCCUCAGGGCUCCUAGCCCGGUUCCCCCUCUGCAGAAUCACUGAGAGGGAUAAAUACAUGUGUACACAGGGCUAGAAGGAAGGGCGCUCCCAAAAGCUCAAGGACUAUGUAAAGUCAGAUUCAGAUGCUAUCGUGGUCGCCUGGGUCCCUGGGAAGGCAACAAUUCCCUAUUUGUCUCUCCGAUCGCUUAUCCUGGUUAGUCACUGGCACCUGGGAGGUGCUUCCUGAAUGUUCCUCCAACGUUUGAUGAAUGGUUGGUAAAGGCCAGUACUCCACUAGGAUCAUGGGCUGGCUCACAGGAGCUCUUCCCUCUAAACUGCGGUUUCCUUGGUAAAGUUAGAGAGAUACCAUAGAAGAUGGAGUGCCAUCCACACACUCAGAGGCAGCCUUCUCCUCUGCCUUGACGGUGAAAGUCGCUCAGUCGUGUCCGACCUGGGUCUCCUGCAUUGCAGGUGGAUUCUUUACCAGCUGAUCCACCAAGGAAGCCCCUCCUCUCCCUUAAGCUGCAGCAUUUGAGAGCUGACAUGGGCUUCCCUGGUAGCUCAGAUGGUAAAGCGUCUGCCUGCAAUACAGGAGACCUGGGUUUGAUCCCUGAGUCGGGAAGGAUCCCCUGGAGAAGGCAAUGGCAACCUACUCCAGGACUCUUGCCUGGAAAAUUCCAUGGAUGGAGGAGCCUGGUAGGUUAUAGUCCAUAGGAUCGCAAAGAGUCGGACAUGACUGAGCAACUUCACAUGGAGAAGGAAAUGGCAACCCACUCCAGUAUUCUUGCCUGGAGAAUCCCAUGUACAGAGGAGCCUGGCGGGCCACAGUCCCUGAGGUCGCAAGGAGUCGGACACGAUUUAGUGACUAAACCACCACCACCACUGUGGGGGUUCCAGAAGAAGCUGUGGAAGGAAGGAUCCCGAGGAUAAGGGCCUUCCUCCCUUUCCAUCACAAAGGGCACUUCCUUAUCAGAGGGGUGGGUGCGGGUGCUCCUGGACCCCCAGACAGCACCCAAGGUCAGAGGAGAGAGCUGCCCUCCUGGGACGGGGUACCAGAGGGCACAUCGGUCAGGGGCAGGGAACACAAUGGACCCAAGUGAAGGAGAAUGAGGAACGGACACCAACACACGCUCAGAGAGGAAAGUGGGACUGUCCUCAGGAGCUGGGAGUGGAUGGAACAGACCAGAAGGAGGGACAGCUCUCCUCGGCUGGCCAUCCUCCUGCUCAAACUGGACCAGUGACUUUUCUAGGCCCACUGUCCGGCCAGACGCUGGUCCGUUGUAUUAGUUCUUCACCAAACCAACAUCUUCCUUUGAUGGGCCGAAACACCUCCCUUCAGACCCCAGGCUUCAACCUUAACUUAAAUGUGUCUAAGAAGGAAGAAGAUAGGAAACCCUAGGGGCUUGUGCUGUUUCCAUUAAUCACUCAAGGAGUUCUUCCCUUUAUCUGGCGGCCUAUGGAUCUAUCCAGUGAUGGGACUAAAAAGACAUAUUUUUCAAGAGCCGGCCCCUCCGCCUCUCCCUCUGUAUUAUGAUUGAAUACUGACAACAGGCAACUCUGUUCCAAGUUCACUCAAGGACACGAGAGCUGCUCCUGAGAACCAGUCAGUUAGGAAGCAAAGGACUUGCCUUGCGUCCUGGGCUCCUCAGAAAAGCUCCAGGCAGGCUGAUCACCUUGGUGACAGGUUCUACAGACAGGUGAGAUGGAGGGAGACCUCCACCCUGCACAGCCAGCUCUGGGAGACAGCGCCGCUCCCCUCUGACUGAGCGGGACCCUGGGGGGCCUUCCCGGGACAGGCCGCCCCCAUCCCCUCUGCCGGAAUGCCUCUCUGAAGGACUGGCCUAACACUUGAUGCACAUCGCCUAAGUUGUUCCACAGCUGUGAAAACCCCACCAAAUGAAGACGUUAACUACUUGAGGACCAGGAGCACCCGGCUCCCAGGUCUGUGGAGCCCAGGGACUGAUCCUGUUAACGCUUGUGACACCACCCUGUGUGACCUCCCCAUCAGCCAGUCAGAGGCUUGUGCACAAGCUGAUCCCAGGCUCUAAGACCCUCCUUCCUCACCCAGCUUUUAUUUAUUUUUAAAAAUUAUUUAGUUGGCUGCAUCAGGCCUUAGUUGCAGCGUGCAAGACCUUCUGUAGCUGCAGCCUGCAGAAAUGCAGCCUGCGAAC
ensembl:lncRNA